rnacentral:rRNA from 1 species
GAUGAACGCUGGCGGCGUGCUUAACACAUGCAAGUCGAACGGUGAAAGAGAGCUUGCUCUCUGGAUCAGUGGCGAACGGGUGAGUAACACGUGAGCAAUCUGCCCCUGACUCUGGGAUAAGCGCUGGAAACGGCGUCUAAUACCGGCUACGAGCUUCGAAGGCAUCUUCAGCAGCUGGAAAGAACUUCGGUCAGGGCUGAGCUCGCGGCCUAUCAGCUAGUUGGUGAGGUAACGGCUGACCAAGGCGUCGACGGGUAGCCGGCCUGAGAGGGUGACCGGCCACACUGGGACUGAGACACGGCCCAGACUCCUACGGGAGGCAGCAGCGGGGAAUAUUGCACAAUGGGCGAAAGCCUGAUGCAGCAACGCCGCGUGAGGGACGACGGCCUUCGGGUUGUAAACCUCUUUUAGCAGGGAAGAAGCGAAAGUGACGGUACCUGCAGAAAAAGCACCGGCUAACUACGUG